rnacentral:rRNA from 1 species
UACAGAGGUCUCAAGCGUUGUUCGGAUUCAUUGGGCGUAAAGGGUGCGUAGGUGGCGCGCUAAGUCAGGUGUGAAAUUUCGGAGCUUAACUCCGAAACUGCAUUCGAUACUGCGGUGCUUGAGGACUGGAGAGGAGACUGGAAUUCAUGGUGUAGCAGUGAAAUGCGUAGAGAUCAUGAGGAAGACCAGUGGCGAAGGCGGGUCUCUGGACAGUUCCUGACACUGAGACGCGAAGGCCAGGGGAGCAAACGGG